GGCUAGCAUAGUGGUUUAACCAUUAGACUGUGACUCUGGAGACCAGGUUUCGAAUCCCUACUCAGCCA